rnacentral:tRNA from 1 species
GGCCCCGUAGUUCAAUUGGAUAGAAUGACAGAUUCCGGUUCUGUUGGUUCCAGGUUCGAGUCCUGGCGGGGUCA